AAGUGGAGGAUUGGGUCUGCACU
rnacentral:miRNA from 1 species